GUGCCCAACCACCCUCUGGGUGGAAAACCUGUUCUUGUUAGCUGACCUAAACCUCCCCUGACUCAGGUUCAUGCUGUUUCCUCGAGUCCUGUCACAGGACGAGAAAGUGAAGAAUUAAGGAGACAGGUGGCCAUGAUGUGAGUUAACUUUCAUUUGCAAAGAGGGUAAUUCCCACCAUGGAAUAAGUGAUGCCCAUGACAAGCAGUGGAAAGCAGUAGACCAGCACAAUCACAAUAACAUGAUACCUGCAAUGAAAAGAUAUUAAAGAGCGAUCGCUGUCAUGGAGUAGAUGCUGGCGAAGACAGCUGUGAUUGGGAAGAAGUUGUGGAAGCGGCAGUAAGCCUCUCCAAAGUACCACUCACUGUGCAGCGCAUAGAUGAAAUUGAUGAGAGUAUUGAAAG